AUGAAGUCGGCCACCUCCCUCCUGCUCGGCGCCGCGCUCGCCACCGCCUGCUUCCUGCUCUACACGUCCGUGGGCCGCGACCUCGGCGCGAGGACGCCGCCGGCGCCACGGUGGGCGCCGGAGAAGGGGGCAGGCGGCGCCGAUCGGCCCAAGCAAGAGGUCGUCGUGAAAGUGGAGGAGGUGACUAAGGGCGUGGUUGCCAGCAGCGACGGCGGCGGCAGAGAUGGUUCGUCACCGGAGCAGGAAAAGCAGCAACGGCAGCAGCAGAUCGUGAUGCCUGUGAACAAGCAACAGCAGCAGGACAAGCCCCAAGAUCUGGCCGAUCUGCUCCGACGAGCCGCGAACGCAGACCGGACCGUGCUGAUGACGGCUCUCAACGAGGCAUGGGCGGCACCGGGGUCGUUCCUGGACCUGUUCCUGGAGAGCUUCAAGCACGGCGAGAACACCGCGCACCUGGUGCAACACCUUCUCAUAGUGGCCAUGGACAAGAAAGCAUUCGACCGGUGCAACGCCGUGCACCCCUUCUGCUACUGGUUCAGGGUGGAGGGCAUGGACUUCGCGGCGGAGCAGAAGUACAUGAAGGGGGACUACCUGGAGAUGAUGUGGAAGCGGAACCGGUUCCAGCAGACCAUCCUGGAGCUAGGCUACACCUUCCUCUUCACCGACGUGGACAUCCUGUGGUUCAGGGACCCGUUCCCGCGCAUGUCCCCGGCGGCGCAGGUGGUCAUGUCGUCGGACUUCUUCGUGGGCGACCCGGACUCGCCGGGGAACUACCCCAACGGCGGCCUCCUCUACGUCCGGUCCUGCGCCGGCAGCAUCGGGUUCUACGAGCACUGGCAGGCGUCGCGCGCGCGGUUCCCGGGGAUGCACGAGCAGUACGUGUUCGACAAGAUCGUCAAGGAGGGCGUGCCGGGCCGCCUCGGCACCAGGGUGCAGUUCCUCGACACGGGCCGCUUCGGCGGGUUCUGCCAGCACGGCAAGGACCUGGGCAGGAUCGUCACCAUGCACGCCAACUGCUGCGUGGGGCUGGAGAACAAGCUGUUUGAUCUCAAGAACGUGCUGGAGGACUGGAAGAUCUAUAAGAAGCGUGUCGCCGCCGGGAACACGGACUACUUCUCGUGGAGGGUGCCCGGGAGGUGCAUACACUGA
rnacentral:rRNA from 1 species